AACUCCUCCAUCUGGAAACCCCACACUGCACCAACUCCUGGGAAACCCACAUACUCACCUCCACUCAUGUUAAACCUCAGACACAAACCUUCUGCUGCUCUGAAAGAACAAACUACAAACCAGGUUUGGCAUUAGUCUGGUUCUCCUGUGGUUCUGUUGGGUCUCAGUCUGUUGUUCAGAUUUUCUUCUUCAAGUCUUUGGAUUGUUUGAACAAACUGUGAAGCUAGAAAGUGUGUGUGAGCUGAUGUGGAUUCAGCAGCAUGGAUCAGUGUGAGGACAGAGAGGAGGGAGUCCCUCCCUCUAAAACCACUCUGUGUGGGGAAGAUGAGAGCCAGAGCAAAGGUCAGAGGUUGCGUAGGCGACUCGAACUACGUUCACAACUUUGGUCCCAUAUCGCCCACAUUGAAUCUCCUGGAUCUGCACCACCAGAGAGGAUCCAACAGAGACUCAAAUCAGAACCAGAACAGAACCAGAACCCAGCCGGUCGUCCUUUGCGAGCCUCAUGCUAAAGCAUCCGUCGAGAUACUCUGGAUCUUUUCUAC